GGGGAUAUAGCUCAGUUGGGAGAGCGCGUCAAUCGCACUGAUGAGGUCAGGGGUUCGAGUCCCCUUAUCUCCA
rnacentral:tRNA from 1 species